UCCACCUCCCACUCCACUUCCUCCUCUACCACCUCCUCAUCCUGUCGGCGUAACACCUUUACCACCAACUUCAGCACAGCCAGGGGGAAACGACAGCAGGCUGUCUUGAAACUCAUCCGUUUGGGGGGAAAAACCGACAGGAACAACAGAGCUGUG